rnacentral:rRNA from 1 species
UACGUAGGUGGCAAGCGUUGUCCGGAAUUAUUGGGCGUAAAGCGCGCGCAGGCGGUCCUUUAAGUCUGAUGUGAAAGCCCACGGCUCAACCGUGGAGGGUCAUUGGAAACUGGGGGACUUGAGUACAGAAGAGAAGAGUGGAAUUCCACGUGUAGCGGUGAAAUGCGUAGAUAUCGGGAGGAACACCGGUGGCGAAGGCGGCGAUCUGGGUCGAUACUGACGCUGAGGUGCGAAAGCGUGGGGAGCAAACAGG